GUGUUCGUCGCGAUGAGCCCCGCGUUUUCGAACUUGAUCAGGUCCGGCAGAUAGCACUCCUUGCAGUGAUCGAAAAACACCAUGUCCGCGGGCACACCUUCGCCCAGCUUGCGCAC
rnacentral:SRP_RNA from 13 species